GACGAACGCUGGCGGCGUGCCUAAUACAUGCCAGUUGAGCGCUGAAGGUUGGUACUUGUACCAACUGGAUGAGCAGCGAACGGGUGAGUAACGCGUGGGGAAUCUGCCUUUGAGCGGGGGACAACAUUUGGAAACGAAUGCUAAUACCGCAUAAAAACUUUAAACACAAGUUUUAAGUUUGAAAGAUGCAAUUGCAUCACUCAAAGAUGAUCCCGCGUUGUAUUAGCUAGUUGGUGAGGUAAAGGCUCACCAAGGCGAUGAUACAUAGCCGACCUGAGAGGGUGAUCGGCCACAUUGGGACUGAGACACGGCCCAAACUCCUACGGGAGGCAGCAGUAGGGAAUCUUCGGCAAUGGACGAAAGUCUGACCGAGCAACGCCGCGUGAGUGAAGUAGGUUUUCGGAUCGUAAAACUCUGUUGGUAGAGAAGAACGUUGGUGAGAGUGGAAAGCUCAUCAAGUGACGGUAACUACCCAGAAAGGGACGGCUAACUACGUG
rnacentral:rRNA from 1 species